rnacentral:rRNA from 1 species
UACGUAGGGGGCAAGCGUUGUCCGGAUUUAUUGGGCGUAAAGAGCGUGUAGGCGGCCAUGUAGGUCCGUUGUGAAAACUCGAGGCUCAACCUCAAGAGGUCGGUGGAAACCAUCUGGCUAGAGUCCGGAAGAGGAGAGUGGAAUUCCUGGUGUAGCGGUGAAAUGCGCAGAUAUCAGGAAGAACACCCGUGGCUAAGGCGGCUCUCUAGUACGGUACUGACGCUGAGACGCGAAAGCGUGGGGAGCGAACAGG